rnacentral:rRNA from 1 species
GCCUGCCCAGUGAUAUUUUUAAACGGCCGCGGUAUCCUAACCGUGCAAAGGUAGCAUAAUCACUUGUCCCCUAAAUAGGGACUAGUAUGAACGGCUAAAUGAGGACUUUACUGUCUCUUGCCGCCAGUCAAUGAAACUGAUCUUCCAGUUCAAAAGCUGGAAUAACACCAUAAGACAAAAAGACCCUGUGGAGCUUUUAAACCAAAACCACCAAAAAUUGUCCACUUGGUUUUUAGUUGGGGCGACUUCGGGGUAAAACCAAACCCCCGAAACAAUGGAACCUACCAUAUUAAGGCCAACACGCCAAAAUAACUUAAAACUUGACCCAGAUCUUUUAAUAUCUGACCAAUGAACCAAGUUACCCCAGGGAUAACAGCGCCAUCUUCUUUUAGAGUCCAUAUCGACAAGAAGGUUUACGACCUCGAUGUUGGAUCAGGACACCCCAAUAGUGCAGCCGCUAUUAACGGUUCGUUUGUUCAACGAUUAACAGUCCUACGUGAUCUGAGU